rnacentral:lncRNA from 1 species
ACGGGGUGUGCCUCGGGGCUUAAGCUUCGCUGAGGCAUAUGUAAAACGUCUCGCCUUACGCCCACAUCUUUUAAAAUACCGGUAUAACCUAGUUGGUUAAAAUGCAAUCUAUAUCCAAACAUACAAAAUUAGAUUUGAAGGUUAAGAAUUGUGUAAAUUUAAAAGAAUUUAAAGUAAUAAUUUUUAAAAUAUACAUUAGCUUUCAUCUGUUCUCAAAAGCAAAAUAAAAAAUGAAAAGAGAUUGAGUCAUGUUAGACAAGGCGACUUAUGACCCGACCCAUCUUGACUCGAUCAAAUUUGGAUGAUACAAUAAAUGAUCAUUUUACGUUUGACACACUCAUUAAGAAAAUACGAACUCCUAGAUUAAAAAAAAGAUGUAUUCAUUAAAUUAAUCUUAAUUAAUUGUUACCUUAACACAUUGGAAGAUGUAAAUAAGGGAAAUUUAACAAAAUAAAAUUAAUUCCUUCUUGGUUAUGUAAAUGGACACUUAUUUUGGAUCAAAAUAAAAAGAUAACAUAAUCACUUAUUGUGGACCGGAGGGAGCAAUUAGAGCCAUCAAAAUUUAGUCCAACUCCCAGUUUGCAACCUCAAUAUCACUCAUCAAUGUUUGCAGCAUACAAAAGUUUGCAAGACCAAGUAAUUUGGGUCUUCCUAGAAAGAGGAAAAAUAUAUUUUCGGCCACUUGCUAUUUGUAUCUUAGUGGAUAUCAUUCAAAGGCAAACGUGGGAACACAGCUACCUGGAAAGAGGGGAAUAAAUCUCAGAAAUUUGCAAAUUAUGUCUAUUCUUUUUUAAUGAAGUGAUGUCUAGAUAAGUUUUGUUUGUGCAUUUCCAUUAUUCUAUAACUACAAAUAUCGCCCACUAAAGCUUAGGUAGAUGAGUUCUGUCUACAUUCUUACACAAAAAAAAAAAAAGGAAAAAAAAAGAAAAAAAAGAAGCACUACUUUAUGAUAAAAAUUGAAAAUGAAAAUGCGUUAGAUCCAGAAUCUAUUGUCCAUCAGCAGAAAAAGAAAAAGAAAAAGAAAGGAAAAGACAUAUCAAGCCUAUGAAUAUGAGUUACCUGAAAAUGGAAUUAGGUCCAAGUUAUAUUCAGAGCUGACAACUCACCCAAUAUUAGCUUUAUUUUGUUUUUUCUUUCCCCAAGGGACUAUGCUAUAGUUAUAGGACUCUGAUUAUAAACAAGAUUCCUUGUACCUGCACAAGAAACAAAUAUUAAAGCACAAAUAAUGAAUACACAGUUCCGAAUCUUAGCACCACAAAAAUGAUCAGAGAACCUAACAAUUAUUAUUUCAUAGCUAGCUGUCAUGCCAAUGAAAUAUCAUUUCACCAAAAAAAAAAGGGCAUAUAGAAUAAAAAUUAUCAUUAACUGCAAUAAGAGUUUCUCUGAUAAUUUAAGUUUUUUUUGUUAGCUUCCUUUUAUUUUAAGCAUGUUGUUUGUAAAACCAAUUAAGGGUUUUUAGCUAGGAUCUUUAAAGUGAGAUCCUGAAAGAGAAGCUUAUAUAUUGAUAGUUUAAAAAAUUUCACUAUCAAAUCGAUAUUUGAUAAUAUAAAUAAUUUUACGUUUUUUAUUUAAAUUUAAAUUCCGGUUUGUUUUUCUCUUCUCUGCCAAACCCAACUCCAUCUCAUAACAAAUUUUUAGAAUCGGUUAGGUUUAACAUUUAAGAUCCUUUGGAACUUCGAGUAUUUUAUGAGAAUAUAUAGGAGUCACAUAUGCACAAACAUUUGUUCCACACAAAUGUGUUAGUUGAAUUAAUUGAAUGCACAAACAUUUGUUCCGCACAAAGUUUUCACAUAUGCAAACAGGGGCGGAACUAAGAUUUUAAGUUUAUGGGUUCUGAAAUCAUUAUGGAACCAUAACUCGUCUUAGUUGUUGAGUUCGUAAUUAAAUAUUUAUAUAUAAUUAAUGAAUUUUUUAAUAUAAAUAUUGCGUUUAAGCAAAAAUGAUUGGGAUCGACCGAACUCAUACCUAAUAAGCUAGCUCUACCUCAGUAUGCACACGCCCUGGAUAAGUAUCAUACACUAUAUACUCUAUGAAGUUAAAACAAAAGACUUAACUCUUAAGUUAUAUAUAUUGUUGAAUAUGCAAAUUUUGACACUAUCAAUGUAAUUUGUAGGUUUUAGGCUGUGUGACAAAAUUAAAAAUUCUAAAUGCAAGAGUGCUGCAAAUUUGAGCUUACGACUUGAAACAAUUUUUGAAUCACAUUUAAUUUUCUAGUACACCAAAAUCUUCUCUCGUGUUAAGGAAAUUCAAUAAUUUAUAUCUACAUGUACAAAUUUAUUUUUAUUCGAUAAAAGGGUUUUAAUUGAAACCCUUAACCUUCAUAGGCCCGCCCCUGGUUAUGACAAGUUAUUAUCUUAGUUUUUCAGGUUAAUAUAUGAGCUAAUGAUAAAUAGUUACUCCCUCCCAUCUACUUUAGUUAAUUUUUUAAUUAUUUUAUGACGCAUUAAAAAAAUCCAUCUUUUAGCAUUGAUUAACAAUCAAAUUGACCAUAUUAACCUUAAUUUGUUAACUAAAAUAUAACAAAUACUUCUACGCCUUGUACUCCAAGGGCAAUUUUGAAAAAAAAAGUUAAUUCUUUUUUGAUAUUUAAAAAAAUUAAAUAUUUUGGACCACAAAUAAAAAGCCAAAAAGUCAAUUAAAGUGGAUCGGAGAAAAUGUUGGUGUAAGAAAAAAAAUUAUAUACCCGAUCAUUACCCUUAACUUAAACUCUAAAACAAAGCGUCGGAUAUGAAAAAGUUAAGCAAAUCAAAGACAACCAGAAUCACCAUUUACUCUGAGAAACUGAAAGUUGAAGUACACAAUGAGUGUAGUAAAGGAGAUAAUGUAGCAUCAUGCAUUAAAGGUGGACGCGGUGUUGCAACAUUGAGUUCAUCUAAACUCAAUAUUUUUGAUGCGAAAUAAUCCACUAAAUUGUCACAAAUAGCUGCAUAUUAAUGAAACAUGAUGUGUUUAAUGCUAAAAAUCUGUAAAAUUGAACUCAAGAGUAUUAAAUUAUGGAUCCGCCUUUGUAUGCAUUAAAAAGAGAGCAUGAAGAAGCUAUGAAACUCAGGAUGGAUAGCGCUAUGGAUGGUUAAAACAAGCAAUAUUGUUAUUAAGCUCAUGUAUAAUAUUCAUCCAUGGCGCUAUCCCUCCUGAGCUUUACAGAUUCUCCCACACAUUUCCACAAGGAAAAAAAAAACUCCAAAAAUUCUCCACUAUACUGUAUGAAAGGAGAAAAGUAGAGAUAAAGGACAAUACAAAG